rnacentral:rRNA from 1 species
UACAGAGGGGGCUAGCGUUGUUCGGAAUUACUGGGCGUAAAGGGCGCGUAGGCGGCCCUCUAAGUCGAACGUGAAAUCCCCGGGCUCAACCCGGGAACUGCGUCCGAUACUGGAGGGCUCGAAUCCGGGAGAGGGAUGUGGAAUUCCAGGUGUAGCGGUGAAAUGCGUAGAUAUCUGGAGGAACACCGGUGGCGAAGGCGGCAUCCUGGACCGGUACCGACACUGAGGAGCGAAAGCGUGGGGAGCAAACAGG